UACGGGGGGGGUAAGCGUUGUUCGGAAUUACUGGGCGUAAAGGGCUCGUAGGCGGCCAACUAAGUCAGACGUGAAAUCCCUCAGCUUAACUGGGGAACUGCGUCUGAUACUGGAUGGCUUGGAUUCGGGAGAGGAAUGCGGAAUUCCAGGUGUAGCGGUGAAAUGCGUAGAUAUCUGGAGGAACACCGGUGGCGAAGGCGGCAUUCUGGACCGAAAUUGACGCUGAGGAGCGAAAGCCAGGGGAGCAAACGGG
rnacentral:rRNA from 1 species